rnacentral:lncRNA from 1 species
GUAGCCACGCCGCACAUCCGCCUGUUUACCAUCGCACCCAUUGGGUACGAUGGUAGCCGCGCCACACAUCCGCCUGUUUACCAUCGCACCCAUCGGGUGCGAUGGUAGCCGUGCCACACAUCCGCCUGUUUACCAUCGCACCCAUUGGGUGCGAUGGUAGCCACGCCACACAUCCGCCUGUUUACCAUCGCACCUGUUUACCAUCACACCCAUUGGGUACCAUGGUAGCCGUGCCACACAUCCGCCUGUUUACCAUCACACCCAUUGGGUACGAUGGUAGCCGUGCCACACAUCCACCUGUUUACCAUCACACUCAUUGGGUACGAUGGUAGCCGUGCCACACAUCCGCCUGUUUACCAUCGCACCCAUUGGGUACGAUGGUAGCCGCGCCACACAUCCGCCUGUUUACCAUCGCACUCAUUGGGUACGAUGGUAGCCAUGCCACACAUCCGCCUGUUUACCAUCGCACCCAUUGGGUACGAUGGUAGCCGCGCCACACAUCCGCCUGUUUACCAUCGCACCCAUUGGGUGCGAUGGUAGCCGUGCCAUACAUCCGCCUGUUUACCGUCGCACCCAUGAUACAUACACACAUUUGUACGUGGGCACAUGAGCACACGGAUGGUGGGGCACACACAUUCACUCCAAAAAAAGAACGGAGGGAGGGAAGGCCAAGGGAGUGAAGGGGACAGCAGAGGGGAAGGCACAGGAUGGAAGAAGGGAGGGCACAUGGUAGGGGAAGGGAGGAUGUUGGGAGGGAGCGUUGAGGGAAGUGGGGGGGAUGAUGGAGGAAGGGUGGAGGAAGAGAGGGAAAUGGUAUUGUGGAGGGAUUAUUGAGGGAGGGUGGAGUGAGGGUUGGAGGGUGAAAUGAUGGAAGGAUGGAGACGGAGCGCCAUGUCUCCCUUACUUCACCCCCCGAAGGAAAAAACAGCCACACAGAUUUAUGGGGCCUCAGUGAUAUUAGCAUAUGCAUCAUUCACACCCACACGAAUCCCCCAGGGUCCCUGUCGUAUUGAAGUCAUUUAGCCAGUGGCUCCCCCGUUUGUCUGACUUGACAUUUAUAGGAGAGUCAUCACACACACAACCAGAAGAGGCGCACAAACACGUGGCAUGCCAAACCAGCCAUCAACCCUUAAGUAAUUUAACUUAGGGAGAGCACCCCCAGAAUCCCGGAUGGGCAGUGGCAGGUGUUGUGUCGUAUGCGGUUUUUAUAAUUGAACAGGAUGUUGUGCACAACACAUGGGUGAGGUGGGGUGGCCCAUCCAUCUCCGCCGGUCACCCGACAGCCCCUGGUUUGCCCUGCACCAACAGCACGCCUCCCGGGUUCCCAUGACCGGCAGUCUGAAAGCCAUCCAGCUGCUGUGCACCUAUGACCGACAGCCCAGCACCUAUGAUCUAUCUGCAAUGUAUCGACCCUAGACAAACCGUUUUGGGGCUCCUGGAGGCCCAUAAAGCGCAGCCGGGGCAACAUGUGCUCCCUUUAAGUCGACCAUGCAAUGCCUUGCCUACCCUAUAUUUCAGAACAAUCCUAUGCUUUUCGGUGCUUUUGGAUGGGUACAAACAGUGAUUUUUUUUUCAUUUAGGGGGGGGUCUCUAUUUAUUCCAACCUAAGUAACAAAGUUGCUAGCGUCGCCGUUAUGUAUUCCUUAAGAGAGGGGCGCUGGGGGGGGCGUAGACCCCCCCCCGCCUAGUUACAACUCCCCUCAUAGACCAAGAGGCACGCACUGCGUUGGCGCGUUUUCGUUCAUGUGCGCUCAUGCCCUUGCGGAUGCGCUGUGUCUGAGCCCGCUUGGCACUGCGAGCGCUCGGGUUGGGCGCCUCGCCGCAUUCGUUGUUGUCAAGCUGAUUGGGUGACAGCUUGCGCUUAUGCUGAUCACAACCGCCAUGGAAGGCAGGGGUAAUGGCGGCAGUGUCAUCGGUCGCCGCUGGCAGCAACAUUGCCGAUGCAUUACCGACAACAGCACCGCCGUCCCAAAUGCCUUUAUCAGGAAACAUUUUUGACUUAUCUUGCUGUUUUUGUGUUUGUUCGGCGUUCAAGUCGUUGCCUUUUGCGUGUUUGUCUAUGGAAGGACCGGUCAUACAUUCUGCUAGCAGAAGCGCUAUGCCGCGUUGACUCACGGGCUUGACCUUCUUACGGCCCCUCAUAUCUAUUUUAUGAUCGAUAAUACUAAGUUCUGCACACUACGGAGCAAUCUGGCAGCAAUGGAC